UUUGAUUACCUAUCAUCAUAACUCCAGAAUCAUGAACCCUUUUCAACUUUUUUCUCGAGCGUUCCCGCGGUAAAAUUGAAAAAAAAACAUGAGUGACGCUAGGUCAGUGCGACCGACCAAUCACGACCAAGAAUAUUCUAGAAAUUCGAGAAGCAAUCAGUGAUGCAAUCAGAUAAGGUAAACAUGACACUCACGGCCGUUACAUCCGUCUGUUGUGAUAACAAUUUACAGUGCCUCUCAUUUCUCGAACAGUGAUUAAUUAUCAAAUGAUUCUACAUUAUUUUUCAAAGCUAAAUGUUAAAUUUUGCAAUUUUGAGUUACAAUUUUCAGCAACAAGCAGAAAAUACACUUUAAUAUAAUCAUUUCAUUUUAUGCCGCUCUGGAUGCUGUUGGCAGACAUGUGACUUUCUAUGUUGAUUUUGGUGUUUUGGCAAUCACGCAUGGUUCAGAAUUAGCGACUUUUGUAUAUGUGCUGUUCCUUUUUACCUCUAAAAGUUUCGUUAUUUCAUACCUGUGUUUGCUGUUCAGUGACCUUACAAACUGUGAUUGACUCUUACGAUUGAUAUUUUAGAGCUUUCACCGCAUUUAUUAGUUUACCUCUUACCUCACGAAUUUAGGCCCUUCACCAAGCCAUGAACUUGGGUAUGAGCGGCUUCGUGCGGCAGCCUUUAGCGGAGUCACCUCAAGCGAGCAUUUUUGCAAAUCCACUAGCCACCGGAAUGGAUCGGUUUCCGUAUCCUAAUUCAAUGCCAAACAUGAGCGCACCAUCAAUGCCAUGGGCCCAGAUACCACCUAUCAAUGUUCCUUGGGGAAUCCCCCCCAACAAUCUUCCAGAUGUCAUCAGAUUUAAUGCAACCCCAAACAUUAACACUUUUCAACCGAUUCCGAGACCGAUCGAAAAUGGUGGAUUUCCAAGAGUACGAUUCACCAAACGAAAGACAAACUUGGAGCCAGAAAUACCAGCAAAAAUUCAUGUCACAGAUGAAAAAAUGGCAGCUCAUAUGAGUGAGAUGCACAUUAGCAGUAAUUACACAUCACAUGAAACACCAGUCCAGCCAAAUUUUAGUUAUAGUAAUUUUGAAAGAAAACAAUUCGAUGAUAAACUCACCAGUCUAAUUAGUGCAGAUGACAAAGAAGACUUAAAAAUACCAUCAAUAAAGCUGUGUGAAGAAUUGAGAAAGCUCAGCAAAACACCAAUCCUACCUGAGCCACUCCUUCAAGUAGAGAAGCCAUGUCGGGCGCUUGUUUUGUGGAAACCACCGCCUGGAGUAGUUGAAUCAAACAUAGCAACAAUAGCUAGCUCGUAUACCACCAAUAAUAACUGUAGUGUUGUAACAUAUCAGACAUCCCCCACUUCAACUGUGACCAUCACAGAAUUAACUGAUGAAGACAAACCAGCCGAGUCUAUAGAGUGUGAUCCUAUUCCGUCAACGUCAACAGGGUUUAUGGAUUCAGCACCUAUCUCAUCAAUCCCUGAGCCUAUAGACUACGAAAUGGAAUCGUAA
rnacentral:lncRNA from 1 species